AAAAUUCCUAUAAGAAUUUGGGACAAAAUUCCUAUAGGAAUUUUUCCUAUAGGAAUUCCUAUAGGAAUUUUGUCCCAAAUUCUUAUAGGAAUUUUUCCU
rnacentral:miRNA from 1 species